UAACUCUUUCUUUGUUUUUGAAAUUGCAAUAAUAUUUUUGAAUUGAGGGUUGCACUGAUUUAGGGGGAGUCUUUCCGAUUUUGGUUAUAAAAGUUUUUGAGAGUCAAGAUGUGGAAAGAGUUAUAUCCCUGUUGGGAGUGUGAAAACUACCACAUGGAGGAAAGAGCUACCACCCCGGUCGUCCGGUCAGUGUGUGCAGCUACCACAUGUU
rnacentral:lncRNA from 1 species